AAUGAAGUGUCUGAUGAAAGAAUUAUUUUGAUAGAAUAAGGUACGUAAAAUUUUUUACCUUCAUUA
rnacentral:tRNA from 1 species